CACCGGCGGCCCGAGUGGUGGCCACUAUUAUUGGGUCUAAAGGGUCCGUAGCCGGUUUGGUCAGUCUUCCGGGAAAUCUGACGGCUUAACCGUUAGGCUUUCGGGGGAUACUGCCAGGCUUGGGACCGGGAGAGGUAAGAGGUACUACGGGGGUAGGAGUGAAAUCUUGUAAUCCCUGUGGGACCACCAGUGGCGAAGGCGUCUUACCAGAACGGGUCCGACGGUGAGGGACGAAAGCUGGGGGCACGAACCGGAUUAGAUACCCGGGUAGUCCCAGCCGUAAACUAUGCUCGCUAGGUGUCAGGGACGGUGCGACCGUUUCUGGUGCCGUAGGGAAGCCGUGAAGCGAGCCACCUGGGAAGUACGGUCGCAAGGCUGAAACUUAAAGGAAUUGGCGGGGGAGCACUACAACGGGUGGAGCCUGCGGUUUAAUUGGAUUCAACGCCGGA
rnacentral:rRNA from 1 species